GACGAACUCUGGCGGCGUGCUUAACACAUGCAAGUCGAACGGAAAGGCCCUGCUUUUGUGGGGUGCUCGAGUGGCGAACGGGUGAGCAACACGUGAGUAACCUGCCCUUGACUUUGGGAUAACUUCAGGAAACUGGGGCUAAUACCGGAUAGGAGCUCCUGCUGCAUGGUGGGGGUUGGAAAGUUUCGGCGGUUGGGGAUGGACUCGCGGCUUAUCAGCUUGUUGGUGGGGUAGUGGCUUACCAAGGCUUUGACGGGUAGCCGGCCUGAGAGGGUGACCGGCCACAUUGGGACUGAGAUACGGCCCAGACUCCUACGGGAGGCAGCAGUGGGGAAUAUUGCACAAUGGGCGGAAGCCUGAUGCAGCAACGCCGCGUGCGGGAUGACGGCCUUCGGGUUGUAAACCGCUUUCGCCUGUGACGAAGCGUGAGUGACGGUAAUGGGUAAAGAAGCACCGGCUAACUACGUGCCAGCAGCCGCGGUGAUACGUAGGGUGCGAGCGUUGUCCGGAUUUAUUGGGCGUAAAGGGCUCGUAGGUGGUUGAUCGCGUCGGAAGUGUAAUCUUGGGGCUUAACCCUGAGCGUGCUUUCGAUACGGGUUGACUUGAGGAAGGUAGGGGAGAAUGGAAUUCCUGGUGGAGCGGUGGAAUGCGCAGAUAUCAGGAGGAACACCAGUGGCGAAGGCGGUUCUCUGGGCCUUUCCUGACGCUGAGGAGCGAAAGCGUGGGGAGCGAACAGGCUUAGAUACCCUGGUAGUCCACGCUGUAAACGGUGGGUACUAGGUGUGGGGUCCAUUCCACGGGUUCCGUGCCGUAGCUAACGCUUUAAGUACCCCGCCUGGGGAGUACGGCCGCAAGGCUAAAACUCAAAGGAAUUGACGGGGCCCCGCACAAGCGGCGGAGCAUGCGGAUUAAUUCGAUGCAACGCGUAGAACCUUACCUGGGUUUGACAUGGAUCGGGAGUGCUCAGAGAUGGGUGUGCCUCUUUUGGGGUCGGUUCACAGGUGGUGCAUGGCUGUCGUCAGCUCGUGUCGUGAGAUGUUGGGUUAAGUCCCGCAACGAGCGCAACCCUUGUUCACUGUUGCCAGCACGUUAUGGUGGGGACUCAGUGGAGACCGCCGGGGUCAACUCGGAGGAAGGUGGGGAUGACGUCAAGUCAUCAUGCCCCUUAUGUCCAGGGCUUCACGCAUGCUACAAUGGCUGGUACAGAGAGUGGCGAGCCUGUGAGGGUGAGCGAAUCUCGGAAAGCCGGUCUCAGUUCGGAUUGGGGUCUGCAACUCGACCUCAUGAAGUCGGAGUCGCUAGUAAUCGCAGAUCAGCAACGCUGCGGUGAAUACGUUCCCGGG
rnacentral:rRNA from 1 species